ACGCUCGACACCUACGGGAGGCAGCAGUGGGGAAUAUUGCACAAUGGGGGAAACCCUGAUGCAGCGACGCCGCGUGAGUGAAGAAGUAUUUCGGUAUGUAAAGCUCUAUCAGCAAGGGAANAAAUGACGUACCUGACUAAGAAGCCCCGGCUAACUACGUGCCACAGCCGCGGUAAUCUGAGCGGGCUGGCAAGGC
rnacentral:rRNA from 1 species